rnacentral:sRNA from 1 species
AAAAAAAUCCAAAAAAAAA